rnacentral:rRNA from 1 species
UACGGGGGGAGCAAGCGUUGUUCGGAUUUACCGGGCGUAAAGGGCGGGUAGGCGGCCACCGCAAGUCAGUUGUGAAAUCUCCGGGCUUAACCCGGAAAGGUCAACUGAUACUGCGGGGCUAGAGUGCAGAAGGGGCAACUGGAAUUCUCGGUGUAGCGGUGAAAUGCGUAGAUAUCGAGAGGAACACCUGCGGCGAAGGCGGGUUGCUGGGCUGACACUGACGCUGAACUGCGAAAGCUAGGGGAGCGAACGGG